AGGGAAUCUUGCGCAAUGGGCGAAAGCCUGACGCAGCAACGCCGCGUGGGGGAAGAAGGCCUUCGGGUUGUAAACCCCUUUCAGGAGGGAAGAAAAUGACGGUACCUCCAGAAGAAGCACCGGCCAACUACGUGCCAGCAGCCGCGGUAAUACGUAGGGUGCGAGCGUUAUCCGGAAUCAUUGGGCGUAAAGAGCUCGUAGGCGGUUCAACAAGUCGGCUGUGAAAGUCCGGGGCUCAACCCCGGAAUUGCAGCCGAUACUGUUGUGACUUGAGUCCGGUAGAGGAGAAUGGAAUUCCCGGUGUAGCGGUGGAAUGCGCAGAUAUCGGGAGGAACACCAGUAGCGAAGGCGGUUCUCUGGGCCGGCACUGACGCUGAGAAGCGAAAGCGUGGGGAGCAAAC
rnacentral:rRNA from 1 species